AUCUGGAGAGGAUGCUUCUGGCGCGGCGCCUUCCGAGUUCCCUGGAACGGGACGCCAGAGAGGGUGAGAGCCCCGUACGGUCGGACGCCUAGCCUCUGUGAAGCUCCUUCGACGAGUCGAGUAGUUUGGGAAUGCUGCUCAAAAUGGGAGGUAAAUUUCUUCUAAAGCUAAAUACCGGCCAGAGACCGAUAGCGCACAAGUAGAGUGAUCGAAAGAUGAAAAGCACUUUGAAAAGAGGGUUAAACAGUACGUGAAAUUGUUGAAAGGGAAGCGCCCGUGGCCAGACUUGCGCCCCGCGGAUCACCCGGCGUUCUCGCCGGUGCACUCUGCGAGGCGCAGGCCAGCAUCGGUUCUCCCAGGGGGACAAAGGCUGCGGGAACGUAGCUCCUACGGGAGUGUUAUAGCCCGCUGCGCCAUGCCCCUGGGGGGACCGAGGACCGCGCUUCGGCAAGGAUGCUGGCGUAAUGGCCACCGGCGACCCGUCUUGAAACACGGACCAAGGAGUCAAGCAUUGGGGCGAGUGUCUGGGUGCCAAACCCGCACGCGAAAUGAAAGUGAACGCAGGUGAGAGCUUCGGCGCAUCAUCGACCGAUCCUGAUGUUCUCGGAUGGAUUUGAGUAAGAGCCUUGCCGCUUGGACCCGAAAGAUGGUGAACUAUGCCUGUAUAGGGUGAAGCCAGAGGAAACUCUGGUGGAGG
rnacentral:rRNA from 1 species